rnacentral:rRNA from 1 species
UACGUAGGGUGCGAGCGUUAAUCGGAAUUACUGGGCGUAAAGCGUGCGCAGGCGGUUCGCUAAGACCGAUGUGAAAUCCCCGGGCUUAACCUGGGAACUGCAUUGGUGACUGGCAGGCUAGAGUGUGGCAGAGGGGGGUAGAAUUCCACGUGUAGCAGUGAAAUGCGUAGAGAUGUGGAGGAAUACCGAUGGCGAAGGCAGCCCCCUGGGCUAACACUGACGCUCAUGCACGAAAGCGUGGGGAGCAAACAGG